UCUUAGUUGAAUCCAAACUAAAUGCUUCAUUUUCUUACUUAGUGGUUAGUAAAGCAAGUCAAGUGAUGAAGGUAUGAUCAAUCUUUGGGGGGGAGAAGAGGCAAGGGAAGGGAGAUGAUGACACCAUAAAGCUCAGCUCAAAGAAGGACAUUCAUGGAGGAAGGGAUGAGAUUUCAACUUCCUACCAUGUUCUGUUCCAGAAUCAAGGAAACAAAAUGAGAGACCAAAAUAAACUGUUCUGAAUUCUCAUUUCUCAUUUCAAUGGCACAUGCAGUGGCGUCGUGAAGAUUUCUUGAGUUUUAGAGCAGAAGGAAGGAAGCAACAAAUUCACCCAGCUGGUUGAUAAACCGGUUGAUGUGAAGCUGAGCAUUACUUUACUUGGUUGGAAUCAACCAAUUAUUGUGAUGGACCAUUACUUAGGUAGAGUCAACCAAUUAAGCUACGGCGCGGUGGUCACACUUUUCGUAUGUCCUAGCCGCACGGCUACGAUGGCCACAGUCAUAAUGGCUCUUCCUUCCCUACAAGAUUCGUUUAUACCAUGGACCUUACCUAGACCACUCGCGAGAGGAGUACUUGUUAGUUUCCACACACCAGCACAUCACGACAACAUGAUUUGGAAGGAUAUUGCAUUAAUGGUUUUGGUGGGGACCUAGACAAUGCCAUAUAGAAGAUGAGGGGAUGGAUAGCUUAGAGUACAUGUUGCCAUAUACCGUGGAAUUCGGUUAGUUAGUCUCUGAAAGGCAUCCAUAGGUCUCUGAAUGAGACUUAUGCACAGGGAUAACAGUUGUUCGGCACCAUCAGCUGUGAGGAACGCCAAAACAAUGGUGUGUUCAACCAGAAAGUAGUGAUCCCAUUGAGGUUGUCAGAAGAAGUUCAGAAUUCAACCAAGCUACUGUGUCUCAGUGAAGGAUCAACCUUUCCAGCCUGCAGAUGUUGUAGCAAUACCCUCUUUUAUUGCUAAGGCAGAUGGUGUUUACAAUGUACUACUAGUAAAUUGAGUAUGGAAAAAAUCAUAGAUAGGUAAGGGUAUAUUUUGGAUUGAGGGUUUUGGAGGGGACGAUUUUGAAGUCCAUGUUUUUUGUUUAAAAAUAGGUAUACAAAUAACAUGAUAAACUAUUGUAGGUUGCACCAUAAUUCAUGUUGAUGUAUUGAAGGAUUUUUUCCUGAUGCAAACAUGGGGUGGUGGUAGUAUGAUUUUCAAACACCAAUCUGCAGAAGAGGGCAACUAACACCCUCCUCUAUUUAGAAAUUUUAUGAAAUUGAAUCUGGAAAAAAUCGUAGAUAGUUAAGGGUCUAUUUUGGAAGGUUAAAGUCUAUGUUCUCAAAUAUAUAUACUUGAGUUUUAUAAAAAGAAAAGAAAAAGAAUAACAUGAUUAAGGACCUUAAUGGAGUGUAGCUUCUUGUACCUGCAUUGUAAAAAUUAAAUAUACUUGCACACCGGAUCCACAUAUCUCUACCAACUUAAGUUUUUGAAACAUACCUUAGAAUGCAUAAAAGGAAUUUACAGAUGCCAAAGAUCUAC